UACGAAGGGAGCUAGCGUUGUUCGGAAUUACUGGGCGUAAAGCGCGUGUAGGCGGCUUUGCAAGUCGGAUGUGAAAUCCCACGGCUCAACCGUGGAAGUGCAUCCGAAACUGCAUCGCUGGAGUCUCGGAGAGGAAGGUGGAAUGCUUGGUGUAGAGGUGAAAUUCGUAGAUAUCAAGCAGAACACCUGCGGCGAAGGCGGCCUUCUGGA
rnacentral:rRNA from 1 species